rnacentral:rRNA from 1 species
AGUGAACGCUGGCGGUAGGCCUAACACAUGCAAGUCGAACGGCAGCACAGUAAGAGCUUGCUCUUACGGGUGGCGAGUGGCGGACGGGUGAGGAAUACAUCGGAAUCUACUUUUUCGUGGGGGAUAACGUAGGGAAACUUACGCUAAUACCGCAUACGACCUACGGGUGAAAGCAGGGGAUCUUCGGACCUUGCGCGAUUGAAUGAGUCGAUGUCGGAUUAGCCAGUUGGCGGGGUAAAGGCCCACCAAGGCGACGAUCCGUAGCUGGUCUGAGAGGAUGAUCAGCCACACUGGAACUGAGACACGGUCCAGACUCCUACGGGAGGCAGCAGUGGGGAAUAUUGGACAAUGGGCGCAAGCCUGAUCCAGCCAUACCGCGUGGGUGAAGAAGGCCUUCGGGUUGUAAAGCCCUUUUGUUGGGAAAGAAAAGCAGCAGGUUAAUACCCCGCUGUUCUGACGGUACCCAAAGAAUAAGCACCGGCUAACUUCGUG